rnacentral:rRNA from 1 species
AUGCAACUUAUUUCCUCUGCUCAGCCCACUUGGUUAGUAGAAGUGUUGAAAAGUUAUGAGCAAGAUCCAGUUGUUGUGGAACUGCUGCAACAACUGUCCACAUCUCCUAAUUCUCACAGCAAGUUCUCUCUCAAAGUUGGAGUUAUCAGACAGGGCAAGUGUGUUUGGCUAGGUAAUGACUCAACACUACAUAGCAAGAUUUGUGCUGCUUUUCAUGACAGUCAAUUGGGAGGGCACUCUGGAUUUCCAGUCACUUAUAAAUGCAUCAGACAGCUGUUCCGGUGGAAAGGGACGAGAAGUUUCAUAAAAACUCAUGUUCAAAGCUACCUGGUAUGCCAACAGGCCAAACUUGAAAGAGUUCCUUCUCCUGGUCUGCUUCAGCCGCUUCCAAUUCCUUCCUUACCUUGGGAAAUGGUAACCAUGGACUUUGUUGAAGGAUUGCCUACAUCUGGCCGUUAUAACUGUUUGUUUGUGAUCAUUGACAAGCUUUCCAAGGGAGGUAGUGUCAGCAUCCAAGAGGAGCGCCAAGACGAUGUUCAAACCGAUGGACGGCCCAAGAGGCAGCUUCGCUUACCCGCUGGCCAGCUGGGCCUGAGUGGGCCUUAG